ensembl:lncRNA
GCUGGAUGGCCUUUUGUACUCCUGCAUAUCCAUCUCCGCCAGGAAAAAGAAGAGGGAGAAGGAAAAACACGCAGAUAAAUACAACUUUAUACAACAACCAGGUCAGUCUCCGUUGGAGGAGAAGAAGGAGAAAGCGAGAAACACCAAUGCCACGAGAAGCAGCUAUUUAGGUGACCUGUGCAAAGGAAAAGAGUCUGGCAUGCUUGAGUGGAAAAUGACAGAGGGAAUCCAUCUCCAUUCCUCCCCCCCACACCCUUGUCAGGUCUGCACGGGAGCGGCGGCAGCAGCGAGCCACCGGGCUGCAGAGAGAAGCCGUGAGGAUAAUCAUUUGUUACCCGGCAGUCGAGAGGCUCCAGACCACACCGGG